GGGUGAUUAGCUCAGUGGUAGAGCGCUUCGUUCACACCGAAGAGGUCGGGAGUUCGAACCUCUCAUCACCCACCA
rnacentral:tRNA from 1 species